GGGGAGUAUUGGACAAUGGGGGCAACCCUGAUCCAGCAAUGCCGCGUGAGUGAUGAAGGCCUUAGGGUUGUAAAGCUCUUUCGGCGGGGACGAUGAUGACGGUACCCGCAGAAGAAGCCCCGGCUAACUUCGUGCCAGCAGCCGCGGUAAUACGAAGGGGGCAAGCGUUGUUCGGAUUUACUGGGCGUAAAGGGCGCGCAGGCGGUUCAUCAAGUCGGGUGUGAAAGCCCCGGGCUCAACCUGGGAAUUGCACUCGAGACUGAAGAACUCGAGUUCGGGAGAGGAUGGCGGAAUUCCCAGUGUAGAGGUGAAAUUCGUAGAUAUUGGGAAGAACACCGGUGGCGAAGGCGGCCAUCUGGACCGAGACUGACGCUGAGGCGCGAAAGCGUGGGGAGCAAAC
rnacentral:rRNA from 1 species